rnacentral:RNase_P_RNA from 1 species
GUAAGACAUGCAAUCGCUGCUAGCUUUAAGCUAGGAGAGGAAAGUCGGGGCUCCACAGGGCAGGGUGCUGGAUAACGUCCAGUCAAGGCGACUUGAAGGAUAGUGCAACAGAGAUAUACCGCCUGUUUUUCAGGCAAGGGUGGAAAGGCGAGGUAAGAGCUCACCAGCGUGAUGGCGACUUCACGGCUAUGUAAACCCCACUUGGAGCAAGACCGAAUAGAGAAACAUAUAAGGAGUGGCCCGUUCCGUUUCUGGGUGCGUCGCUUGAACCUAUUGGUAACAAUAGGUCUAGAUAGAUGAUUGCUUAAUACAGAACCCCGCUUAUGGCUUAUCUCG